CCUACGGGUGGCAGCAGUCGAGAAUCAUUCACAAUGGGGGAAACCCUGAUGGUGCGACGCCGCGUGGGGGAAUGAAGGUCUUCGGAUUGUAAACCCCUGUCAUGUGGGAGCAAAUUAAAAAGAUAGUACCACAAGAGGACGAGACGGCUAACUCUGUGCCAGCAGCAGCGGUAAUACAGAGAUCUCAAGCGUUGUUCGGAACCACUGGGCGUAAAGCGUGCGUAGGCAGUUUCGUAAGUCGUGUGUGAAAGGCGCGGGCUCAACCCGCGGACGGCACAUGAUACUGCGAGACUAGAGUAAGGGAGGGGGAACCGGAAUUCUCGGUGUAGCAGUGAAAUGCGUAGAUAUCGAGAGGAACACUCGUGGCGAAGGCGGGUUCCUGGACAUUAACUGACGCUGAGGCACGAAGGCCAGGGGAGCGAAAGGGAUGAGAUACCCUAGUAGUC
rnacentral:rRNA from 1 species